rnacentral:rRNA from 1 species
AAUAUUGGUCAAUGGGGGCAACCCUGAACCAGCCAUGCCGCGUGCAGGAAGACGGCCCUACGGGUUGUAAACUGCUUUUAUACGGGAAUAAACCCCGAUUCGUGAAUCGGGUUGAAUGUACUGUAAGAAUAAGGAUCGGCUAACUCCGUGCCAGCAGCCGCGGUAAUACGGAGGAUCCAAGCGUUAUCCGGAUUUAUUGGGUUUAAAGGGUGCGUAGGCGGCCUAUUAAGUCAGGGGUGAAAGACGGUGGCUCAACCAUCGCAGUGCCUUUGAUACUGAUAGGCUUGAUUACACUUGAGGUAGGCGGAAUGUGACAAGUAGCGGUGAAAUGCAUAGAUAUGUCACAGAACACCAAUUGCGAAGGCAGCUUACUAAGGUGUUAAUGACGCUGAGGCACGAAAGCGUGGGGAUCAAAC